AUUGAACGCUGGCGGCAUGCCUUACACAUGCAAGUCGAACGGUAACAGGUCUUCGGAUGCUGACGAGUGGCGAACGGGUGAGUAAUACAUCGGAACGUGCCCGAUCGUGGGGGAUAACGGAGCGAAAGCUUUGCUAAUACCGCAUACGAUCUACGGAUGAAAGCCGGGGACCGCAAGGCCUUGCGCGAACGGAGCGGCCGAUGGCAGAUUAGGUAGUUGGUGGGAUAAAAGCUUACCAAGCCGACGAUCUGUAGCUGGUCUGAGAGGACGACCAGCCACACUGGGACUGAGACACGGCCCAGACUCCUACGGGAGGCAGCAGUGGGGAAUUUUGGACAAUGGGCGAAAGCCUGAUCCAGCCAUGCCGCGUGCAGGAUGAAGGCCUUCGGGUUGUAAACUGCUUUUGUACGGAACGAAAAGACUCUUUCUAAUAAAGAGGGUCCAUGACGGUACCGGAAGAAUAAGCACCGGCUAACUACGUG
rnacentral:rRNA from 1 species